rnacentral:rRNA from 1 species
AGACAGUUCGGUCCCUAUCCGUCGUGGGCGUAGGAAAUUUGAGAGGAGCUGUCCUUAGUACGAGAGGACCGGGAUGGACAUACCUCUGGUGUACCAGUUGUCGUGCCAACGUCAUAGCUGGGUAGCUCUGUGUGGUCGGGAUAGGUGCUGAAAGCAUCUAAGCAUGAAGCCCCCCUCAAGAUGAGAUUUCCCAACUUCGGUUAUAAGAUCCCUCAAAGAUGAUGAGGUUAAUAGGUUCGAGGUGGAAGCAUGGUGACAUGUGGAGCUGACGAAUACUAAUCGAUCGAAGACUUAAUCAAAA